CUGGAGGUAUCAGAAGUGCGAAUGCUGACAUAAGUAACGAUAAAGCGGGUGAAAAGCCCGCUCGCCGGAAGACCAAGGGUUCCUGUCCAACGUUAAUCGGGGCAGGGUGAGUCGACCCCUAAGGCGAGGCCGAAAGGCGUAGUCGAUGGGAAACAGGUUAAUAUUCCUGUACUUGGUGUUACUGCGAAGGGGGGACGGAGAAGGCUAUGUUGGCCGGGCGACGGUUGUCCCGGUUUAAGCGUGUAGGCUGGUUUUCCAGGCAAAUCCGGAAAAUCAAGGCUGAGGCGUGAUGACGAGGCACUACGGUGCUGAAGCAACAAAUGCCCUGCUUCCAGGAAAAGCCUCUAAGCAUCAGGUAACAUCAAAUCGUACCCCAAACCGACACAGGUGGUCAGGUAGAGAAUACCAAGGCGCUUGAGAGAACUCGGGUGAAGGAACUAGGCAAAAUGGUGCCGUAACUUCGGGAGAAGGCACGCUGAUAUGUAGGUGAAGUCCCUCGCGGAUGGAGCUGAAAUCAGUCGAAGAUACCAGCUGGCUGCAACUGUUUAUUAAAAACACAGCACUGUGCAAACACGAAAGUGGACGUAUACGGUGUGACGCCUGCCCGGUGCCGGA
rnacentral:rRNA from 2 species